rnacentral:rRNA from 1 species
AACCAGAAGGCGCAAUGAAAGUGAAGGCACGGUCGCCGUGCUGAGGUGAGAGCUGUCCAUGGCAGCACAUCAUCGACCGAUCCCAUCCACACUCUCGUGGUGUGGCGGGAUUCGAGUAAGAGUGUACCUGUUGCGACCCGAAAGAUGGUGAACUAUGCCUGAAUAGGGUGAAGCCAGAGGAAACUCUGGUGGAGGCCCGUAGCGAUUCUGACGUGCAAAUCGAUCGUCAAAUUUGGGUAUAGGGGCGAAAGACUAAUCGAACCAUCUAGUAGCUGGUUCCCUCCGAAGUUUCCCUCAGGAUAGCUGUAGCCCUAAGCAGUUUUAUCAGGUAAAGCGAAUGAUUAGAGGUAUCGGGGAAGAAACUUCCUCGACCUAUUCUCAAACUUUAAAUAGGUAAGAAGUCCGACUUGCUUAAUUUGAAGCCGGACACAGAAUGCUGGGUUACUAGUGGGCCAUUUUUGGUAAGCAGAACUGGCGAUGCGGGAUGAACCGAACGCCGAGUUAAGGUGCCAAAGUCGACGCUCAUCAGAUCCCACAAA